rnacentral:rRNA from 1 species
GGAGGUAGUGACAAUAAAUCUCAAUACGAAGCCUUUGGUUUUGUAAUUGAAUUGAGAACAAUGUACAAUCGUUAUCGAUAAACAAUUGGAGGGCAAGUCUGGUGCCAGCAGCCGCGGUAAUUCCAGCUCCAAUAGCGUAUAUUAACGUUGUUGCAGUUAAAAAGCUCGUAGUUGAAAUUUAGAUAAUUCGAGGUAGUAGAGUGGCUUCGGCUUACUCUUCUGAUACACUACCUAUUAAAUAGAGAAUUAUCGAUUUCCAGAUAUGAAUUUGUUUUCUUUCGGGAAGAUAAAUUCUAGACUGGUCAUUUACUGUGAGAAAAUUAGAGUGUUUAAAGCAGACUUUUGAAAUUCGUUUGAAUAGAUUAGCAUGGAAUAAUAAGAUUGGCUUUCAUAGUCGAUUUUUUGGUUUGUUUAUGAAAGCAAGAUUAAUAGGGACAGUUGGGGGUAUUCAUAUUCAAUAGCUAGAGGUGAAAUUCUAUGAUUUAUGGAAGAUGAACAAGUGCGAAAGCA